rnacentral:rRNA from 1 species
CCUACGGGUGGCAGCAGUGAGGAAUAUUGGUCAAUGGGCGCGAGCCUGAACCAGCCAAGUCGCGUGAAGGAUGACUGCCCUACGGGUUGUAAACUUCUUUUAUAAAGGAGUAAAGUUAGGCACGUGUACCUUUUUGUAUGUACUUUAUGAAUAAGGAUCGGCUAACUCCGUGCCAGCAGCCGCGGUAAUACGGAGGAUCCGAGCGUUAUCCGGAUUUAUUGGGUUUAAAGGGAGCGUAGGUGGGUGGUUAAGUCAGAUGUGAAAGUUUGCGGCUAAACCGGAAAAUUGCAAUUGAUACUGGUAGCCUAGAGUACAGUUGAGGUAGGCGGAAUGCGUGGUGUAGCGGUGAAAUGCUUAGAUAUCACGAAGAACUCCGAUUGCGAAGGCAGCCUACUAAACUACCACUGACGUUGAGGCUCGAAAGCGUGGGGAGCAAACAGGAUUAGAUACCCUUGUAGUC